CCUACGGGAGGCAGCAGUGAGGAAUAUUGGUCAAUGGGCGCGAGCCUGAACCAGCCAAGUCGCGUGAGGGAAGACGUACCUAUGGAUUGUAAACCUCUUUUGUCGGGGAGCAAAAGACGCCGCGCGUGGCGUUCCAAGAGUACCCGAAGAACAAGCAUCGUCUAACUCCGUGCCAGCAGCCGCGGUACUACUGAGGAUGAGAUGGUUAUCGGGAUUUAUUGGGUUUAAAGGGUGCGCAGGCGGAAUAUCAAGGCAGCGGUAAAAUUGAGAGGCUCACCCUCUUCGAGCCGUUGAAACUGGUUGUCUUGAGUGAGUGAGAGGUAUGCGGAAGGCGUGGUGUAGCGGUGAAAUGCAUAGAUAUCACGCAGAACUCCGAUUGCGAAGGCAGCAUACCGGCGCUCAACUGACGCUCAUGCACGAAAGUGUGGGUAUCGAACAGGAUUAGAUACCCGAGUAGUC
rnacentral:rRNA from 1 species